rnacentral:rRNA from 1 species
AUUGAACGCUGGCGGCAGGCCUAACACGUGCAAGUCGAACGGUAACAGGAAGAAGCUUGCUUCUUUGCUGACGAGUGGCGGACGGGUGAGUAAUGUCUGGGAAACUGCCUGGUGGAGGGGGAUAACUACUGGAAACGGUAGCUAAUACCGCAUAACGUCGCAAGACCAAAGAGGGGGACCUUCGGGCCUCUUGCCAUCGGAUGUGCCCAGAUGGGAUUAGCUAGUAGGUGGGGUAACGGCUCACCUAGGCGACGAUCCCUAGCUGGUCUGAGAGGAUGACCAGCCACACUGGAACUGAGACACGGUCCAGACUCCUACGGGAGGCAGCAGUGGGGAAUAUUGCACAAUGGGCGCAAGCCUGAUGCAGCCAUGCCGCGUGUAUGAAGAAGGCCUUCGGGUUGUAAAGUACUUUCAGCGGGGAGGAAGGGAGUAAAGUUAAUACCUUUGCUCAUUGACGUUACCCGCAGAAGAAGCACCGGCUAACUCCGUG